GACGUAGGGCGCAAGCGUUGUCCGGAUUUAUUGGGCGUAAAGAGCUCGUAGGCGGCUGGUCGCGUCGACUGUGAAAACCUGCAGCUUAACUGUGGGCUUGCGGUCGAUACGGGCAUCACUGGAGUUCGGCAGGGGAGACUGGAAUUCCUGGUGUAGCGGUGAAAUGCGCAGAUAUCAGGAGGAACACCGGUGGCGAAGGCGGGUCUCUGGGCCGAUACUGACGCUGAGGAGCGAAAGCGUGGGGAGCGAACAGG
rnacentral:rRNA from 1 species